rnacentral:rRNA from 1 species
GGCCUUCUGGACUGACACUGACACUGAGGUGCGAAAGCGUGGGUAGCAAACAGGAUAAGAUACCCUGGUAGUCCACGCCGUAAACGAUGUCGACCAGCCGUUGGGUGCCUAGCGCACUUUGUGGCGAAGUUAACGCGAUAAGUCGACCGCCUGGGGAGUACGGCCGCAAGGUUAAAACUCAAAUGAAUUGACGGGGGCCCGCACAAGCGGUGGAGCAUGUGGUUUAAUUCGAUGCAACGCGAAGAACCUUACCUACUCUUGACAUCCUGCGAAUUUGGUAGAGAUACCUUAGUGCCUUCGGGAACGCAGAGACAGGUGCUGCAUGGCUGUCGUCAGCUCGUGCUGUGAAAUGUUGGGUUAAGUCCCGUAACGAGCGCAACCCUUGUCCUUAUUUGCCAGCGCGUAAUGGCGGGAACUCUAAGGAGACUGCCGGUGACAAACCGGAGGAAGGUGGGGACGACGUCAAGUCAUCAUGGCCCUUACGAGUAGGGCUACACACGUGCUACAAUGGUCGGUACAAAGGGUUGCCAACUCGCGAGAGUGAGCCAAUCCCGAAAAGCCGAUCUCAGUCCGGAUCGGAGUCUGCAACUCGACUCCGUGAAGUCGGAAUCGCUAGUAAUCGUGGAUCAGAAUGCCACGGUGAAUACGUUCCCGGGCCUUGUACACACCGCCCGUCACACCAUGGGAGUGGACUGCACCAGAAGUGGUUAGCCUAACGCAAGAGGGCGAUCACCACGGUGUGGUUCAUGACUGGGGGUGAAGUCGUAACAAGGUAACC